rnacentral:rRNA from 1 species
CCUACGGGUGGCAGCAGUGAGGAAUAUUGGUCAAUGGGCGGAAGCCUGAACCAGCCAAGUAGCGUGCAGGAUGACGGCCCUACGGGUUGUAAACUGCUUUUAUACGGGAAUAACGCGCCUUACGUGUAGGGCUUUGCAUGUACCGUAUGAAUAAGGACCGGCUAAUUACGUCCCAGCAGCCGCGGUAAUACGGAAGGUCCGGGCGUUAUCCGGAUGUAUUGGGUUUAAAGGGAGCGUAGGCCGCAUGUCAAGCGUGCUGUGAAAAGUCCGGGCUCAACCCGGGCCUUGCGGCGCGAACUGGCGAGCUUGAGUCCGCGGAAGGCAGGCGGAAUUCGUCGUGUAGCGGUGAAAUGCUUAGAUAUGACGAAGAACCCCGAUGGCGAAGGCAGCUUGCUGCAGCGGAACUGACGCUGAUGCUCGAAAGCGCGGGUAUCGAACAGGAUUAGAUACCCUUGUAGUC